CGUGUAGGCGGUUUCUUAAGUCUGAUGUGAAAGCCCUGGGCUCAACCCAGGAAGUGCAUUGGAUACUGGAAGACUUGAAUACGGGAGAGGGUAGUGGAAUUCCUAGUGUAGGAGUGAAAUCCGUAGAUAUUAGGAGGAACACCGGUGGCGAAGGCGGCUACCUGGACCGAUAUUGACGCUGAGACGCGAAAGCGUGGGGAGCAAACAGGAUUAGAUACCCUGGUAGUCCACGCCGUAAACGAUGAGAACUAGGUGUUGCGGGUAUUGACCCCUGCAGUGCCGCAGCUAACGCAUUAAGUUCUCCGCCUGGAAGUACGGUCGCAAGACUAA
rnacentral:rRNA from 1 species